CUUGAGCUCAGUUGAAUUUCAACUACCAACCUUUGGACUUCGUUGGGUUAUAAACAGAGAAAAACGUCACCUGUUCUAUUUAUUGUGGUCGUUAUCAAAACCGUGAAGGAAGGUUUUGGAGUUCUUUGCCAGCAAACGGCAAAACUCUUGGAUCCCUGCGAGAGCCUCUGGCUUAUCAAGGUCAAUAACUGCGAUCGCUUUGCUGAAAGCGUAAUUUGCUUGAUUUAAGUAUCGGCUUUGAGGCCAAAUACCAAAUAUCUUUGUGCGCAUCGUUUGUUCGCACAAAGCGAGCCGACUGUAAGUAGAACCACGUUAUAAUGUCAGCCAAGAAGAAGCAGAAUGGGAUAAAUAAUUACAAUAUUCGCCUAAUGACGGCAAAAUGGAAGUCAAAGCUAAUGAGUAAAAGUAAAAUGGGUCUCAGAGCCCCAAAUAUCUAAUCAAACGUAACCAUCAAGAUAAAACCUAUUCAAAUGUAACCAAUAGUAGGGCAAAUAUGUAGCCAAAAAAAAAAAUGUAUGUAAACGUAUUAGGUUAAUAGCUGCUUAGGCAGUCUAAUAAACAGCAAUGCUUAGGUAGGCGACCAAUGGUAAUAGAUCUAAGAUAAACCAUCGAUAAACUAACACAUGUAAUGUGCCGAAUCCUAACUCCGAUCUCCGAUUACAAUGAUUAUGAAACCGUAUCGUCGAUUUAGCUUUUUACACAACUGUUCGCCCAGCGAGAGUUCCACAUUGGCAUCGUCCGCUCUAUCCGGGGCUUUUGGUCUGUUCGCCCAUCCCAGCCAGCUAACAAAAUUAUCCGUGGCCCAUUCAAAAGUGGUGUCCGACAUUUUAAGACGUGUGCGCGCCGGGUGAUAUGCAACUAUUUUUGGCCAGGGUCCGGACCCUUGCCGUAACGCGAUCUACGCGCCGUGCGUCAUGCGGCUGUCGCCCCUCGCGUCGGUUGGGCGGGUGGUGGGUAACUUUGAUGUUACACGUUGGGACUGCGUCCGCAAAAAUGCCACGUGCAUAUUUAUCUACGGUUUACACUUAAGCGCAUGUCGCAUGCCAGAUAUAAGUGCAAGUUUAUUAAAUUGCUUUGCAAAUAUUAAGUGCAUGUUGCUAUUUCUUUUUUUAAAAAUUAUUUUCUUAUGAAUUUUCUAUGAAUUUUGUCGUGGAAUGUGUAUAUAUUCAAAGAGUUAAUCUAGCACCUUAUACAUGUAUAUUAUAUAUAAUCCACAGCUCUUUUGCAAUCGAAAUGUUUUAGCUAAAGUGUGCUGUUAUAUCCCAAGUCUGAGUCUGGUGCUUUCAGGCAUAUAGAAUAGGCUUGCUGCCCCUUACUUAAACCUAAAAACACUUAUUAUUUUCUAAUCAGCAAACAUAUGCCUUAACAAUAAUGAACAUUUAAUAUGAUUCAUUAAUUGAUUUGAUUUUGUUUUGGGUUCAAAACAAAGUAUUCGAAAGGAUGAAACUACAGGUACAAGUUUCUCUUUAAGCCUAAUUUAGUCGGAUAUACUUCACAGAAUAUACUUUUUGUAAGCUUACUUCAAAUUAGAAAGUAGAAUAUUUAUAGGAAAUUCGCUCGAACCAGGCCAGGCUAUAUUAGCCUGGGACUAAAGCCUGGCUUUUCUUUGGAAAACAUAUUUGGCAUACGACUGGCUUUUCAAAUACAAGUUCGCUUGGGAUCGGGUAUUACCGCAUUUAGCUGGUGAUAUAUGUAACAUAUUAUUGCUCACAAUUCUUUAGCGAGUAAUCCUUAUAUUUUGCAAUUUUUGCAUAUUUUGGUAUAUUUAGUUUGCUUGAUUUAAGACUUUCUCAAGUGUCAGCUUUAUUUGGGCAGUUUUUUAUACGUCGUAAUUUAUAUUCACCCAUUUGAUAGCCGCAGCUUUGUUUUGCAAACCCUUAACGCAAACCUUGUUAGCGCUUCUUGCUGUCAACAGCGUCCACCAAGAAAUGCAUAUUUAGUCAAGUGUUAAUAAUGUGGUUGCCUUCCCUUGGGCAAUCUAACCCAAGCAGCCAGGCGAACCCAACCCAACCGCCCACACGCAACUGUUUGGCAAAGGUGCAAACGUGCGUUAAAGCAAAAGAAAGCACAAGAAACACACACACACACACACACACACACACACACACACAAGGAAAACAAACAAAACAAAACACAGAGCGAGAGACAAACAAAUGGCAGGCAGGACGAUUGACACGAAGGAAUUUUAGCACGGCAGGGAGGGGUUGGGGAGGCGGGGGAGUAGGAUGAAAAGUGCAGAAAAAACUUGCCUGCGUCCGUUUUGCCAGGAUUGGGUAUUAUAAUUCGUGGACUUCUUCUGGCGCCUGUGGGAACGAGACAAAUAAAUAUAAGAAAAUUAAAAAAUAAAAAAAAUGAAGUAUAAAAAAAAAAAAAAAACAGGCAAAAUGCAUAACUAAACAGAGCAGAUCUUACAAAUAGAGCUUCCAGUUCGAGUUGGGGUCUGUCGGGUUUUAUUUUGUUAUUCAAAAUGUUGUCUGAGAUUCGCGACGUUUAUUUAUUUCCGCAUUGCAGCGGCCUUUUCGCAUUUUUCCAUUCAUUUCAAGAAUCAUUUGACUCUGACGCCGUCUUGGCUUCCAUUGUUAUAACAAGGAUUGGCAUGGGGCAACCUUCCUUUUUUUUUUUUUUUUUUUGUUUAUCUUAGGCCUGCAUGAAGUUGAAAAUGAAGUUUUCUUGCCAUGGAUUUUUAAUUUGCUGGCGCAUAAUUAGAAAUGCAACUAUUCCUGCUGAGUCUGUGGGGCUAAUUUGCGGACAAUAAACAAGUCGACGGCAGUCAAUGCGACAGUAUCUGGCAGAUACUUUUCCCGGCGCGUCACGUAGUUUCAUCGGCAAUUGGCCAAAAAGUUAUUGCCUAGGUGAAUUGACAAGCAGCACACUGAGCGCACUCACACGGAAAUUUCAAUGACAAUGCCCGGGGUCCAGCCACAGCCGGAGUCCGAGCCAACCAAGCGUGAGCCAAAGGUAUCUUAUGGAUAGCCGCAGGCCCUCUGUGACACCACCCACUUAAAAUUUAUGUGUUAAUUUUAAGAUGCCCGCGACCCACAGAGUUUUUACUUUGAAUUUUUUUCUUUUUUUUUUUUUUUGUUAUUGCCUCGGACAGGGCAGUAUUUUUCACAACAGCAUUUUUUUAGGGGUUGCUGAAGGAUCUGGUCCAGGUGCUGCCGGGGUCAGCAUUUGGUGGUAAUAAAUGAGCUAAUAAUAAGUGAAAUGUGCUUUUGAGUGACCCUAAACAAUGGCUGUGGGCUGGAGGGGGCGGGAAGCGGUUGGCCCUCUAGAAAUUGCUGUGAAAUUGAGUUUGAAAAAAGUUCUCAGCGGGCAGCUGAAAAAUGCGCAAAAGUGUCGCAAAUUCCGUUGCUGACAUGAAAAGAUUUGUUUAUAAUUAAUUUCUCUCGGGAUUUUUUUUAUAUUUUUUUACCGGACCGAAACAUGUGACGCGGCACGAAAUUAAUUACGUUAAUACCUAUGGUCACAUAUUUUUUUUUUUUCGUUGAAAACAACGCGAAGCUCAUGUAAAAAUGUGGAAAGUAUUUUUCGGGCUCUCGAUUGUCCUUACUAAAGGGACCCAAAGGGGACCUGAUCUGGUGUCUGGCUUCUUGAUAAUUCUGAAAACUGAAUUGUUGUAGAAACGAAAUGUAAAUAUAUUUGGGAGUUAGAAAAUUGGGUAUAUUGAAAUCAAUUGAAGUUUUUAUGAAUGGCAAACAUCAUGACAAUGUUGUGUGGUCCUAGAGCCUCGUUAGACUUUUAUGACUGGGGGCAAAUGGCAGCAGCAACAACAGGAAAAGCCGCAAACAAGCUCAAUGCUGAAGUGUUGCGAGGCAAAAAAAAAAAAAAGCUAAAAAAAGCCAAAAACUGUAGCCGCAUGUUGUAAAUUCCAAUCAAUUUCGGUAGCUGGCGAAAGGUGAGGUGAGGUGAGAUGACGACGUCCACUCAUUUGUCGGAAAAUUGAGUAGACAUGCAGAUCCGGACAACGGAAAUGGUCAAGAUGCAAAAGCAGCUGGCUUGUGUCCAGUCAGGCCCUCAAUUAGAGUCCUUUGGCCCAUUUUAUUUUUUUGUUUUGACUAGACUGAAUCGCUUUUUGUGGCUUUGUCUUGGCGGCAGUGCUUGCAGCCUGUUUGGUUAACAAGAUGAAGCUGACGGAGCUGCAGGCUAUGGCUAAGGACAACGUCAUUGAGACAAGCGCCUGGCAAACAAACAAACAAAACAACCGAAACAACAACAGCAACAGAAACAACAACAUCAACAAAAGUUGUCUAUGAGUCGCUUAUGUGUUGUUUUUUUUUUUUUUUCAUUUGGCAACAUUUGCGGCCUAAUGGAAUUUUUGGCGCUGCCUAACUGGCAAAAAAUUGCUCAAGCAGCUGGAGAAAGUCCUUACUACAUGUGUGGCACAUAAGCUGCUGCUGCUGCUGCUGCUGCUGUUGUUGCUUCGAAUUGAAAAUCGAAGUUAAUAUGCGCUGCAGACUGUGAAACAAAUCAUUUUCAAGUUGUUAUACGAAAUCGACACGUUUUUGCCAUUUUAUAUUUAUUAUGAGCAUUUUCGACUUUUUCAGCUGCUGCAGAUGUGGCAGGACAUAAGCAGAGAGGUGGGGGGGACCAGGCAUAAAAGCUAAUAAUUUAAGGAUAUUUCAUGUGUGUAUAGGCAUGGGCAGGAUAUGAAAUUGCCACGCAUUAGAAGGGGGUCAACUAUAUAGGCAUUAGUCUAGUUGGCAUUAACUUUAUAAUUUCUCAUGCAUGUUCUGAUAAGACUUCCCCUUCGAUUCUUAUUCAGUUCUAAUGUAGCUGCUCGUACUAAAAUACUGUUAUGCAGCUUAUAAGCUAAAGAUACCCAAGAUUCCCUUGUUAACAGUUACUGCAGCAGCCAGGCGGGAGAUGGGCUCGCCAAAGCUCAACAAGGUACUCGAGUAUGUUAAACAGGACACGCAAACAAAAUUCGUUAAGGCUAGCUAUUUUAGCAGGACGCGCACAAAAUAUCAUGUACAAUACAUUAUGCUUAUGCCAGCCACUUGGCUGCAAGGCUGUGCCACGCCAGCUCCGCCAGUCCGGGCUGUGAUCCUGGGCGAUGGCAGCACAUAAAAUUAGCAGGCACGUGAGAGCAACGCGACGCUGUGCUUGAUGGCCUGCCUCAUUAUCAUAACGUUUUGUGCGAACGUUGGCAGUUUUUUAAAUUUCCUAUUGGACGGGCGCGAAAUGUACAUAUGUAUUAGUGUGUGUGUGUGUAUGCCUCUGUUGUGUUUGUGUGUAAUGUGAUUUAUAUAUGAGAUUGUAGCUCACCAGCUAUUGGCAUUUGGUGGGCCAUUCGGAUUGUGGUGCCUUUGUUGUUGCUGGCCACCUGUGUGGCAUCUCUUGCGCUCCUGCAAGGCGGCAGCAGCAGUUGCAGACGCAUCGGUGCCCGAAGCUGUAGCCGACAUCGCUUCGGAGCCGGCAGUUGUUGUUGUCCCUGUUGUUGUUGUUGCUGCUGCAGCAGAAUCAGCGGCAGCAGCAGCAGCUGUUGUGGCUGGUCCCCGACGUUCAUGCAUUACAAAAACUUAAUAAUAUAUGUACACUUUGUAUGCAUAAAUAUGAACUUAAUUCAUUAUUAAGGCAGCGCCUAUCACGUUUGCUGGCCGCAGUUGAUAAAUUCUAGUUGCCAAUGGCAGGACAUUUUUGUACUCUUUGUUGUUGCUUGAAACCGCAAGAGAGCGUUUUAGCUGUGUAGCUGAAGUUGCAGCAUUCUCGGGCACUUCUCACUUUUGCAAUUGUAAAUGCUUGUUUUUUUUUUUUAAUAUUACAAGCAAAACACACGUAAACACAUAAACUUAAUCAAAUUAUGCACAAUAGAA